ensembl:misc_RNA Metazoa_SRP Metazoan signal recognition particle RNA
GCUGAAGGUGGUGGCACACAUCUGUAGUCCAAACUACGUGGGAGGCUGAGGUGGGAGGAGCACCCAAGUCCAGGCUGUAGUGCCCGGUAUGAAUCGGUUGUCUUUACCAAGUUUAGCAUGAAUAUGAUGACCUUCCAGGAGUGGGGGCCACCAGGUGCCCUAAGGAGAGAGAAUCAGCCCAGGUCAAAAAUGGAGCAGGUCAAAACUGAUAAGCUGAUCCAUAGUGAGAUAGUCCCUGUGAAGUGUGGGGAACCCUCUGGUGUCCGACUCAGCCUUCA